rnacentral:lncRNA from 1 species
GCCCUCUCCCCAAAAUCACAUCUCCGGUAAGUUUGAUGCGGUAAUUUCCCCUCACCCUUCUAAACUCGUCUCUUUUCUCUUUCGUAUCUCCUCUCCUUCAUCUAUUUCCUUCAAAUCUAACCAAAAUUUACCCAAAUACUCAAACCCUAGUGAAUCGAUUAAAUGCAAACAACAGUAUAAGAAGAGAACACCAAUUUUUUGCUUUAUGCUCUAAAGAGGCAAAAGCCCUAACCCCUUUCUCUACCAUUCCUUCAGCCAUUUUGGUAUUCUGGCUGUUGUUGUUCACAAUCCCCAAUACUUCCGGCAAGGGUUUAGAUCUUCAUUAUGCAUAAAGGGUAAAUCGCACGAAAUCUAGACCGGCAACCUCCCUCUUCCACCUUAUUCUAUAUAUAUAUGUUUUUCAUAUGUAGUUGAUUGAUGUUUUUAGAAUUUUCAUUUUCAUAUUGGUGAAUGUUCUUGAGUAGUGUAUGUGUCUUUUUUCCCUUUUUAUGUGAUGCCUUCUUGAUUUGUCUAAUCUCCUUUAUACUUGUUAGGAUUGAAGUUCUUAUUUGUCGGAGAAAUUUGUUAAAUCUUGCUCUUGAUAAGCAUGUAUUCCUAUUAUUUUAGCCUCUAUCUUAUGAAUGUAAAUGAUUAUAUUUUUAUCAUACUAUUUUAAACAAAAGAAAAAAAAGAACUUUUGCUUUUGGCUUUCUUUUCUGACUAAAAGUUUAAUUGUUGGUAGAGCAUUCCAAUAAAUAUCGUUGUAGGUUCUCAUGUGUGGAUUGAGGACCAAUCAAUGUUGCUUGGUUUGAUGGAGAAGUAUCACAGAUAAAUGGAUAGGAGGUUCAGGUCUAUAUAUUUGAUGGGAGGAAGGUAAAUAUGUUAGUAUUACCUUGUUGAUUGGUGGUGGAUGUAGUUGCUGUUAUUGGUAGUUAUGGGUCGUUCAAAGUUUAGAUACUCUAGCAGUUCUAUAUCUAUAUACUCAUGAGUUUGUUGUGUCCUUGUUACUUGAUGUUCUUAUUUUAUGCUUUUCUGCAGAAUAUUGAACAGGGAAAGAGAUGCAAGCUGGUGUGUUAUGUGCAUUCACAAGAAUCAAUUAAUCUAUAUGUAGCUUUAACCAGUUCAAAUAGACUAAAGAAGCUGGGUACUACUUACAUAGUGUAAGUAUCAUAUGCUAUAUAUGCAGUUGUCUAUAUUUUCCAACUUUUCAACCAGUUUAUGUGAAUCGCAUAGCAUUACGAGCUGAUGGAGCAGGGCAUUGUGUGGUUUUUUAUAAUAGAAUCAUAGUUAGUAUCUUAGAUAAUAUUAACAUAUUGUAGGAAAUAGGAUAUACAUGCUAGUGAAAUUUCAGACAAGUUUUUCAUCAAUAGACCACUAUUCCAUGAUUGUGCUCUUAUUUUACUAGGUUUUAGUUUUGCCAUGUGCUUCUAUGAAGUUCUUCCCUAUUUAUCUAUAUAAUAAUCUUCCAUUUGAGCGUCUUUGCUAACCUUGUCCAAUAUGGAUAAAUUUAUUACUAUAUAUGUCUGUAGGGUGCUAUUUUGUCGAAGGUAAGUCGUAGGAACGACAUUUCGAUGGAAAGAACCCAUCAGGCUAUGGGUAAAGUGGCAUGGGCAUUUUUAGUGAUGGUUACCACUAUGGUGAUGGUUAUUAUCGGGAUGUGCUCCCUUAGCUUGUGUUUGUUUUUUUUGGAUAAUUUAUUAUAUUUUUGGUUAAGGUCAAAAGCUUCAUUUUUUGUUAAAUUCUAUUGCACAUGCCUAGUUGAUUAGUUAGAACUGUAUAUGGUAUGUAUGAAUCCUGAGUUCCUUGGUGAUGUCUCUAUUUAGUAACAGUCCAUGUUCUUAAACUAUUUGGGUGGUUUAAGGUCUUUAAAUGUCUUUUUUUUUAGUUUUGGCAAGCAUCUGCCUUUUUGAGUAAAUCGUGAAUUCUAGAAUGUCUUCUUUGUUCUUUACCUUUUUGUUAAAGAGUAAUUCCAGUGGCACGAAAGGGAAAAUAAUGGCCUCCACAACGUGUUUCCAGAUUUGGAUCUUUGACGAUGUACUGGUGUUAGAAUGGUUUGGCAAAGAUUGCUCAAGUUCUAAAUUUAUGGUGCCAUUCAACAAAUGAUGUUUUUGGAGUUGACAUUAUCAUCUGCUUGUAGUUAAAUAUCCUGCAUAUGGCAGAUUUCAUCAGUUUCUUUUUCUUUUUCUUUUUCUUUUUCCCUUCUCGUUUAGGUUUCAGACAGAGCAACUUAUUUUGGCACUUCGUACGAUUAAAGAAAAAAGCAGAGCAGCUUGGUUCAGUUCAUCAAUUUGUUCAGGUGAGGAGGCUAGUUGAAUCUAUGCAAGUGCUUUAAAUAUGAAUAAAUUACAGUUCCCUAUCUGAUGACUAAGCAGAUACGCGAAUAGAUGAAAAAACAGUACCAACAUCUUUAAGAAUGAUUACCCUGCAAUGGAUACAUUUGUUGUUUUAAUUUUCUUCUCUCUUCCUUGUUAUUCUUUCUUUUCUCUUUUCUACUCAUAAUAAGGAUGUGCUAUCUUCUAGUUAAUGCUAUCAGUAGUUUUCAAGAUCUUGAAGUGAUGUUUGCAAUUAUUUCAUUAAGAUGAAUCUCAUUUGUUUCUUAGUGUAGGUUGGUAAUGAAGAACAAAUUCAUGUUACUAUGCACAUGGAGAAGAUAACCCAACUUUGUUGCGAGAUGUUAUUGGAUGCUUGACAAGUACGAACCCGUUUAGUAUAUAGUUCCUAGCACUACCUUGUCGAACUUUUCCUCCCUUGUUUUUCUUCUAUUAAGAUUUAAUGGCUCACUUUGGUAAUUAGAUAAAACAGAGAUACAUCCGCUGAUUAUGAUUUUUUCGAUUUGCUCUGUUUAUCGGCACUCUUAAACAUAUAACACCUCCAUUAUCGUGAAACUCAAGAG